AUUGAACGCUGGCGGCAGGCUUAACACAUGCAAGUCGAGCGGGGGAAGGUAGCUUGCUACCGGACCUAGCGGCGGACGGGUGAGUAAUGCUUAGGAAUCUGCCUAUUAGUGGGGACAACAUCUCGAAAGGGAUGCUAAUACCGCAUACGUCCUACGGGAGAAAGCAGGGGAUCUUCGGACCUUGCGCUAAUAGAUGAGCCUAAGUCGGAUUAGCUAGUUGGUGGGGUAUAGGCCUACCAAGGCGACGAUCUGUAGCGGGUCUGCGAGGAUGAUCCGCCACACUGGGACUGAGACACGGCCCAGACUCCUACGGGAGGCAGCAGUGGGGAAUAUUGGACAAUGGGGGGAACCCUGAUCCAGCCAUGCCGCGUGUGUGAAGAAGGCCUUAUGGUUGUAAAGCACUUUAAGCGAGGAGGAGGCUACUUUAGUUAAUACCUAGAGAUAGUGGACGUUACUCGCAGAAUAAGCACCGGCUAACUCUGUGCCAGCCGCCGCGGUAA
rnacentral:rRNA from 1 species